rnacentral:rRNA from 1 species
GACGAACGCUGGCGGCGUGCCUAAUACAUGCAAGUCGAACGCAGUGGGGACGGGUGAGUAACACGUGGGUAACCUCCCAUCAGAGGGGAUAACACUUGGAAACAGGUGCUAAACCGAUACUGAUGGAUGGACCCGCGGUGCAUUAGCUAGUUGGUGAGGUAACGGCUUACCAAGGCCACGAUGCAUCGCGGCACUGAGAGGGUGAUCAGCCACACUGGGACUGAGACACGGCCCAGACUCCUACGGGAGGCAGCAGUGGGGAAUAUUGGGCAAUGGACGAAAGUCUGACCGAGCCACGCCGCGUGUGUGAAGAAGGUUUUCGGAUCGUAAAGCUCUGUUGGUAGGGAAGCGGUAUCUACCCAGAAAGCAACGGCUAACUACGUGCCAGCAGCCGCGGUAAUAC